UGAAUACGAGAUGCUACGGCGUCGAAGCAGUCUAUGUCAUACUUCCAAGAAAAGCUCGCACUGUCAUAAACAAAUAAUGCCUGUACCAUAACCGACACAGGUGGGUAGGUAGAGUAUACUAAGGGGCGCGAGAUAACUCUCUCUAAGGAACUCGGCAAAAUGACUCCGUAACUUCGGGAGAAGGAGUGCCUUAUUUAUAAGGUUGCAAUAACAAGAUCCAAGCAACUGUUUAUCAAAAACACAGGUCUCCGCUAAGUCGUAAGACGAUGUAUGGGGGCUGACGCCUGCCCAGUGCCAGAAGGUUAAAGAAGUUGGUUAGCAUUCGCGAAGCUGAUAACUGAAGCCCUGGUGAACGGCGGCCGUAACUAUAACGGUCCUAAGGUAGCGAAAUUCCUUGUCGGGUAAGUUCCGACCCGCACGAAAGGCGUAAUGAUUUGGAUACUGUCUCGGAGAGGGGCUCGGUGAAAUAGACUUGUCUGUGAAGAUGCGGACUACCUGCACCAGGACAGAAAGACCCUAUGAAGCUUUACUGUAACUUGAGAUUGAAAUUGGACUUUACUUGCGCAGUAUAGGUGGGAGGCGUUGAUAAUAUUCUUGCGGGAUUAUUUGAGCCAUCAGUGAGAUACCACUCUUGUAAUGUUAGAUUUCUAACUUUGUAUCAUUAUCUGGUCAAAGGACAGUUUCAGGCGGGCAGUUUGACUGGGGCGGUCGCCUCCUAAACGGUAACGGAGGCGCACAAAGGUUUCCUCUGAACGGGUAGAAAUCGUAUCUAGAGUGUAAAGGCAUAAGGAAGCUUGACUGUGAGACCUACAAGUCGAGCAGGGACGAAAGUCGGUCUUAGUGAUCUGACGGUGCUGAGUGGAAAGGCCGUCACUCAACGGAUAAAAGUUACUCUAAGGAUAACAGGCUGAUCUCCCCCAAGAGUUCACAUCGACGGGGAGGUUUGGCACCUCGAUGUCGGCUCAUCGCAUCCUGGGGCGGUAGUACGUCCCAAGGGUUGGGCUGUUCGCCCAUGAAAGCGGUACGCGAGCUGGGUUCAGAACGUCGUGAGACAGUUCGGUCCAUAUCCGGUGUAGGCGUUAGAAUAUUGAGAGGAGCCUUCUUUAGUACGAGAGGACCGAGAAGGACAUACCUCUGGUGUACCAGUUAUCGUGCCAACGGUAAACGCUGGGUAGCUAUGUAUGGAGUGGAUAACCGCUGAAAGCAUCUAAGUGGGAAGCCCACCUCAAGAUAAGUA
rnacentral:rRNA from 1 species